UACGUAGGGUGCAAGCGUUGUCCGGAAUUAUUGGGCGUAAAGAGCUCGUAGGCGGUCUGUCGCGUCUGCUGUGAAAAUCCAGGGCUCAACCCUGGACCUGCAGUGGGUACGGGCAGACUAGAGUGCGGUAGGGGAGAUCGGAAUUCCUGGUGUAGCGGUGAAAUGCGCAGAUAUCUGGAGGAACACCGGUGGCGAAGGCGGCAUCCUGGACCGGUAUUGACGCUGAGGCGCGAAAGCUAGGGGAGCAAACGGG
rnacentral:rRNA from 1 species